AAGCCAGAAGGUUAUGUUGUUGAGUAAUCGCAAUUGCGAUCUCCGCACCAAGCCAAUGGCUUACAGCUUAUGGCCUACGGCUUAAAGCUCAAAUCUCUCCUCCCACAGCUCCUCCGGUAAGGGUGAAACGGUGCGGUAAGAGCGCACCAGCAUCCCGGGUGACCGGGAUGGCUCGGUAAACCCCACCCGAAGCAAGGCCAAGAGGCCGCACUCGUGCGGCUGCGCAGGCGCUCGAGGGCUGCUCGCCCGAGCCUGCGGGUAGGCCGCGUCAGGCACCCGGCGACGGGUGUCGCAGAUGGAUGGUCGCCGCCGCUGCGCCAGGCGCAGCGGAACAGAAUCCGGCUUACAGGCCAACUCGUCCG
rnacentral:RNase_P_RNA from 1 species